rnacentral:rRNA from 1 species
UACGUAGGGUGCGAGCGUUGCCCGGAAUUAUUGGGCGUAAAGGGCUCGUAGGCGGUCUGUUGCGUCAGGAGUGAAAACUCGGGGCUUAACCCCGAGCCUGCUUCUGAUACGGGCAGACUAGAGGUAUGCAGGGGAGAACGGAAUUCCUGGUGUAGCGGUGAAAUGCGCAGAUAUCAGGAGGAACACCGGUGGCGAAGGCGGUUCUCUGGGCAUUACCUGACGCUGAGGAGCGAAAGUGUGGGGAGCGAACAGG